rnacentral:rRNA from 1 species
UACGGAGGGAGCGAGCGUUGUUCGGAAUUACUGGGCGUAAAGCGCGUGUAGGCGGUCCGGUAAGUCCGCUGUGAAAGUCGGGGGGCUCAACCCUCGGAUGCCGGUGGAUACUGUCGGGCUUGAGUACGGAAGAGGCGAGUGGAAUUCCUGGUGUAGCGGUGAAAUGCGCAGAUAUCAGGAGGAACACCAAUUGCGAAGGCAGCUCGCUGGGACGUUACUGACGCUGAGACGCGAAAGCGUGGGGAGCAAACAGG